rnacentral:rRNA from 1 species
ACGAACGCUGGCGGCGUGCUUAACCCCUGCAAGUCGAACGGAAAGGCCCUGCUUGCAGGGUACUCGAGUGGCGAACGGGUGAGUAACACGUGGGUGAUCUGCCCUGCACUUCGGGAUAAGCCUGGGAAACUGGGUCUAAUACCGGAUAGGAGCCAUUUUUAGUGUGAUGGUUGGAAAGUUUUUUCGGUGUAGGAUGAGCUCGCGGCCUAUCAGCUUGUUGGUGGGGUAAUGGCCUACCAAGGCGGCGACGGGUAGCCGGCCUGAGAGGGUGGACGGCCACAUUGGGACUGAGAUACGGCCCAGACUCCUACGGGAGGCAGCAGUGGGGAAUAUUGCACAAUGGGCGCAAGCCUGAUGCAGCGACGCCGCGUGGGGGAUGACGGCCUUCGGGUUGUAAACUCCUUUCGCUAGGGACGAAGCUUUUGUGACGGUACCUAGAUAAGAAGCACCGGCUAACUACGUG